rnacentral:rRNA from 1 species
GAUGAACGCUGGCGGCGUGCCUAAUACAUGCAAGUCGAGCGAACGGACGAGGAGCUUGCUUCUCUGAUGUUAGCGGCGGACGGGUGAGUAACACGUGGAUAACCUACCUAUAAGACUGGGAUAACUUCGGGAAACCGUAGCUAAUACCGGAUAAUAUUUUGAACCGCAUGGUUCAAAAGUGAAAGACGGUCUUGCUGUCACUUAUAGAUGGAUCCGCGCUGCAUUAGCUAGUUGGUAAGGUAACGGCUUACCAAGGCAACGAUGCAUAGCCGACCUGAGAGGGUGAUCGGCCACACUGGAACUGAGACACGGUCCAGACUCCUACGGGAGGCAGCAGUAGGGAAUCUUCCACAAUGGGCGAAAGCCUGACGGAGCAACGCCGCGUGAGUGAUGAAGGUCUUCGGAUCGUAAAACUCUGUUAUUAGGGAAGAACAUAUGUGUAAGUAACUGUGCACAUCUUGACGGUACCUAAUCAGAAAGCCACGGCUAACUACGUG